GACGAACGCUGGCGGCGUGCCUAACACAUGCAAGUCGAACGGAGUUAAAUUCGACACCCGAGUAUCCGGCCGGGAGGCGGGGUGCUGGGGGUUGGAUUUAACUUAGUGGCGGACGGGUGAGUAACGCGUGAGUAACCUGCCUUUCAGAGGGGGAUAACGUUCUGAAAAGAACGCUAAUACCGCAUAACAUCAAUUUAUCGCAUGAUAGGUUGAUCAAAGGAGCAAUCCGCUGGAAGAUGGACUCGCGUCCGAUUAGCCAGUUGGCGGGGUAACGGCCCACCAAAGCGACGAUCGGUAGCCGGACUGAGAGGUUGAACGGCCACAUUGGGACUGAGACACGGCCCAGACUCCUACGGGAGGCAGCAGUGGGGGAUAUUGCACAAUGGGGGAAACCCUGAUGCAGCAACGCCGCGUGAGGGAAGAAGGUUUUCGGAUUGUAAACCUCUGUUCUUAGUGAC
rnacentral:rRNA from 1 species